UGGCUGGCACGGAGAAGAGCCCCGUCUGUCAGGGAAACCAGGCCGCAUCUGGCGGGUCCAGCUGCCGUCCCGCCCACGCAGUUGCCAGUGAGGCGGCCAGGAGGAUGCUGAGCUUCCAGAGAGGCGGUUUCCAGUCUGUCCCGGAGCUGAAUCCAGAGCCUGGCCGUCCCCAGGCGAAGCGGGCGGUGCUCAGGCGGCACCAGCUCCGGGAGCUGCGAGGCGAGGAGCAGAGCUGUGCGGGGACGCAGUGACACCGUCGCCGCAGCCGCCGGGCCGCGCGGGUUUCCAUCCUCCGGGCAGGCGCCCGCGUACCGGCCCGCGGUGGAGGGCGAUGUCUGUAGGCCCGCAGGCUGCUCCCUUCCAGCUCUACCUGCUGUAGCCAAACCGAACUGUGAACCUUUUCCGAUGAGAUGUUUGGGUUGGCUCCGUUGCGCCUUCUCCGAGCCCCCUCUCGUGGCUGGAGAAUCCCGCUCCCAGCGCCCUGCGGUGCCUGCCUGGCUCUGCUUUGUGAAGGUGCUGAGGGUCGGUCUCUCCUGGCAGACAGCUGAGCACGGUUUUCAUUCUGAGUGGAGGGGCUGCCCCUCUCCUUCAGGUUAUUUUGCGGUAUCAAGCUGACCAGCGGAGGAUUUGCCUCGAAUUGUUCAUUAGAGGAAUUGCAGAAUGAGCACGCUGCUAAAUGAUCAGUGACAAAUCCCCCAGAGCAGAUGGCGUUUGCUCGUUAGUCUUAAAAAAACCCCAGCAGUUUUCAACAGAGUUCCAGGGAAAACCCCAGGAACUACAGUGCAGUGUACCUGAUACCCCCAGCAUGCAAAUUAUUAGGAACCACUCUAACAGAGUUAGGGGCCACGUUAAGGGCUAUUAAAUACUCAUAGAAAUGCCAGAUCAUGGUUCAUUAGCAGUCUAAACAUGCAAAAAUGGAGUUAGGGAUUACUAGUGUAAGAAUGGUUCAGAGAAGAGCAACAAGGAAAAGGGCUUCGCACAAUGCACAGUUUAGUAGGGAGCUCCUGACAGCAGGGCAGUAAAGAUGCUCGCUGUUGAGGUGGGUUUAAAAGCAACAGGACAAAUUAACAGCGGUAAAUCAAUCAAGAGUCAUAAAUACAAAGUUGCUGUCCUUGGCUGAGAAAGGCCUUUGGCUGCGGGUUGCUGGAGGCUUGGAUCCUUCAACACAUGCUCCUGGCGCCUGCAAGAGAUGGGGGAAUUUUACCCAGGCAUAUUUGGAGAGUUAUCUGCAUUUGUCUAGGAUUCCUGGACAUCUGACUAAGCUUCUGGAUGCUGAGAAGUCCUGCACAGCCACAUCUCAUGUGAACUGACUGUAAAUCACACACUGAUCCCAAAACUUCUGGCAUACAUACCGUUGCUUCUGGGAUGCAGAGCUGCUUUGCACGUGCACAGGUUUGCAUGUGUCCCCAACCUGCAGGAUUCCCUCUGCACACUGGUGGGUCAGUAGAGUGCCUUCCUGGAAACAUCGGCUGUCGUAUGCUUUCUGCAAACUGCUUCUGCUCUGUAGCAAUCGCAGCCAGAAGGAUGGUAGCCCUAUUCCAGAUCUGACUUCUCUUGAAGAUGGAAUAUAUCCCCAGACAAAAAACAAAAUUGGCUGGAAGAGGAGACUGUUGUCUGUGACUACGAGCCUCUUGCCAUCCUUCCAUCAUCUCAGACACCCUGGAUCCUUGACACAUGUGACUACAGUCCCAUCUCUGCUUUCCUAUGAUCUAUUCCUUCAAAUUCAGUCCAGCUCUGGCCUUCCUCCUAUUUCAGCAGUGAGUUUCUGAACAAAAAUUCAUUAUUCCAGGUCUGCUCCCGGGAUGAUCAACGUGAGAACAUAUGGCUUGGCCAGCCCCUGGAUCCUGAGCAAAAACCAUGUCUGUGUGCUCCCAGCAGCUAAUAUCUUUAAGUACCAGUUUCCUUCUUUUCAGUCUGUCUGAAUUUCCUUUAACUGCUCUAUUAUGAAUAACUGCUUUAUUUAUAAAAUAAAAUCGCUUUCUAGAA